CGGCAACAGCUCAAAUUUGAAAUCUGGCUCCUUCGGGGUCCGAGUUGUAAUUUGUAGAAGAUGCUUCGGGUGUGGCUCCGGUCUAAGUUCCUUGGAACAGGACGUCAUAGAGGGUGAGAAUCCCGUAUGUGACUGGGGCGCCUAUGCUCAUGUGAAGCUCUUUCGAC
rnacentral:rRNA from 1 species